UCUUCAUCAAUUACUGAGACCCACGUGACCAAAUUUAAAUUUCCCGCUUUAAAUAUUUUUUCUUUAUGUUGGUAGACACGGACAGUUGGUUAAAACAAAAUACCCAAAUUGCAUAUUUGUUUAUUUCACCUCCUGUCAAUCUUUGCUUGUGUUUACCGUUUUUUUCGAAUUUCUUUAACAUUAUCUUAAAUCAACAGCCAAAACAGUUCUUUUCAGAGCUCUUAACGCUACGAAGUUAUUCUGAUUGUAUCGCUGUAGGAAGAUGGUGUUCACACCAGAGCAAGAUGCUUUUAUUUUAAUGGCACAUUUCCGCAGUGGUAACCGAAAUCCUGAUGGAACUUGGAGCUAUUCACUGCAAUCGUGCAUUGAACAGUUUUCCGAAGAGUACCCUGAUGUUAAUAUCGACUACGAUGUAUUUAAGAACCACAGGUCACGUCUAA